UUUGAUCCUGGCUCCAGAUUGAACGCUGGCGGCAAGGCCUAACACAUGCAAGUCGAACGGUAACAGGAAGCAAGCUUGCUGCUUCGCUGACGAGUGGCGGACGGGUGAGUAAUGUCUGGGAAACUGCCUGAUGGAGGGGGGAUAACUACUGGAAACGGUAGCUAAUACCGCAUAACGUCGCAAGACCAAAGAGGGGGACCUUCGGGCCUCCUUGCCAUCGGAUGUGCCCAGAUGGGAUUAGCUAGUAGGUGGGGGUAACGGCUCACCUAGGCGACGAUCCCUAGCUGGUCUGAGAGGAUGACCAGCCACACUGGAACUGAGACACGGUCCAGACUCCUACGGGAGGCAGCAGUGGGGAAUAUUGCACAAUGGGCGCAAGCCUGAUGCAGCCAUGCCGCGUGUAUGAAGAAGGCUUCGGGUUGUAAAGUACUUCAGCGGGGAGAGAAGGGAGUAAAGUUAAUAC
rnacentral:rRNA from 1 species